rfam:Ruminococcus lactaris ATCC 29176 Scfld_02_24 genomic scaffold, whole genome shotgun sequence.
GAGAAAUACUCAGGAGAGUCUCUUUAAAAAGAGCGCCGAAGGUGUAAGCAGUGCUGCUACUUUGAAAAAAGAAGUUCCCGGCAGGGGCGGGAGGGCAGGAACUGCGAGUCUCUCAGGCAAAAGGAUGGAGGAAUAAAG